rnacentral:rRNA from 1 species
UUAUGGCUCAGGAUGAACGCUGGCGGCGUGCCUAACACAUGCAAGUCGAGCGUGAACCCUUAGAAUGAAACUUCGGUCGAAUGAAGAGGGGGAAAGCGGCGGACGGGUGAGUAACGCGUAGGCAACCUGCCCCGUACAGAGGGAUAGCCUCGGGAAACCGGGAUUAAAACCUCAUAAUACCAUGGUAUCACAUGAUGCAAUGGUCAAAGAUUUAUCGGUAUGGGAUGGGCCUGCGUCUGAUUAGCUGGUUGGUGGGGUAACGGCCUACCAAGGCAACGAUCAGUAGCCGACCUGAGAGGGUAAUCGGCCACAUUGGAACUGAGACACGGUCCAAACUCCUACGGGAGGCAGCAGUGGGGAAUAUUGCACAAUGGGCGAAAGCCCUGAUGCAGCAACGCCGCGUGAGCGAAGAAGGCCUUUGGGUCGUAAAGCUCUGUCGGGAAGGAAGAUAAUGACGGUACUUCCCGAGGAAGCCCCGGCUAACUACGUGCCAGCCGCCGC